rnacentral:rRNA from 1 species
AGCAGCCGCGGUAAUUCCAGCUCCAAUAGCGUAUAUUAAAGUUGUUGCAGUUAAAAGCUCGUAGUUGAAUUUUAGGCCUGGCCGGGCGGUCCGUCUUUGGCGAGUACUGUCUGUUGUCGGGUCUUCCUUCUGGUGAACCAAUAUGUCCUUUAUUGGGUGUGCUGGGGAGCCAGGACCAUUACCUUGAAAAAAUUAGAGUGUUUAAAGCAGGCUUUUGCUUGAAUAGAUUAGCAUGGAAUAAUAGAAUAGGACGUUGUGGUUCUAUUUUGUUGGUUUCUAGGACCACCGUAAUGAUUAAUAGGGAUAGUUGGGGGCAUUAGUAUUCAAUUGUCAGAGGUGAAAUUCUUGGAUUUAUUGAAGACUAACUAUUGCGAAAGCAUUUGCCAAGGAUGUUUUCAUUAAUCAAGAACGAAAGUUAGGGGAUCGAAGACGAUCAGAUACUGUCGUAGUCUUAACCAUAAACUAUGCCGACUAGGAAUCGGGCGACGUUAUUUUAAUGACUCGCUCGGCGCCUUAUGGG